rnacentral:tRNA from 1 species
GGGAGCGUAGCACAAUGGCUAGUGCACUGCCCCGAUGUGGCAGGGGUUGCAGGUUCGAGUCCUGCCGCUCCCA